rnacentral:rRNA from 1 species
UACGAAGGGGGCUAGCGUUGCUCGGAAUCACUGGGCGUAAAGCGCACGUAGGCGGAUUGCUAAGUCAGGGGUGAAAUCCUGGAGCUCAACUCCAGAACUGCCUUUGAUACUGGCGAUCUCGAGGUCCGGGAGAGGUGAGUGGAACUGCGAGUGUAGAGGUGAAAUUCGUAGAUAUUCGCAAGAACACCAGUGGCGAAGGCGGCUCACUGGCCCGGUACUGACGCUGAGGUGCGAAAGCGUGGGGAGCAAACAGG